rnacentral:rRNA from 1 species
UACGUAGGCAGCAAGCGUUGUUCGGAGUUACUGGGCGUAAAGAGUGUGUAGGCGGUUUUCUAAGUUUGGUGUGAAAUCUCCCGGCUUAACUGGGAGGGUGCGCCGGAAACUGGAGUGCUUGAGCGCGGGAGAGGAAAGCGGAAUUCCUGGUGUAGCGGUGGAAUGCGCAGAUAUCAGGAGGAACACCGAUGGCGAAGGCAGAUCUCUGGGCCGUAACUGACGCUGAGGAGCGAAAGCGUGGGGAGCGAACAGG